UCUUUCUUUCGAUUCCCUUACAAGCUGGAGAAAACAAAGACACGUUAACAUGAAGAAGUAACUGUUUUGGUUCGAUCUGCCGAGCAAUCGAACCAGAAUUUGUUACUGCACGUUCCGAAGCGGCCAUCUGCUUGGGAAGGUUGCCUCUGUCACUUAAAUCGCAAGCUGUUAGUAAUCAAGGAGCUUUGGUGGAAAGCUGAAUCAUCGAGUCCAGCUUAAAACUAACGCAGAGGCUGGAGGAUGACUGCACCUACUGAAUUACAAACCGGUCCGAUGAUGGAGAAUAAGUUUGGGAAAACAGGC